rnacentral:rRNA from 1 species
UACAGAGGGUGCGAGCGUUAAUCGGAAUUACUGGGCGUAAAGCGCACGUAGGUGGCGACGUAAGUCGGGUGUGAAAGCCCCGGGCUCAACCUGGGAAUUGCAUUCGAGACUGCAUUGCUGGAGUACGGAAGAGGAGGGCGGAAUUCCCAGUGUAGAGGUGAAAUUCGUAGAUAUUGGGAAGAACACCGAUGGCGAAGGCAGCCGUCUGGACCGACACUGACGCUGAGGCGCGAAAGCGUGGGGAGCAAACAGG